rnacentral:rRNA from 1 species
GACGAACGCUGGCGGCGUGCCUAAUACAUGCAAGUUGAGCGCUGAAGGUUGGUACUUGUACCGACUGGAUGAGCAGCGCACGGGUGAGUAACGCGUGGGGAAUCUGCCUUUGAGCGGGGGACAGCAUUUGGAAACGAAUGCUAAUACCGCAUAAAAACUUUAAACACAAGUUUUAAGUUUGAAAGAUGCAAUUGCAUCACUCAAAGAUGAUCCCGCGUUGUAUUAGCUAGUUGGUGAGGUAAAGGCUCACCAAGGCGAUGAUACAUAGCCGACCUGAGAGGGUGAUCGGCCACAUUGGGACUGAGACACGGCCCAAACUCCUACGGGAGGCAGCAGUAGGGAAUCUUCGGCAAUGGACGAAAGUCUGACCGAGCAACGCCGCGUGAGUGAAGAAGGUUGUCGGAUCGUAAAACUCUGUUGGUAGAGAAGAACGUUGGUGAGAGUGGAAAGCUCAUCAAGUGACGGUAACUACCCAGAAAGGGACGGCUAACUACGUG